rnacentral:rRNA from 1 species
CCCUUAGAUGUUCUGGGCCGCACGCGCGCUACACUGACGAAUGCAACGAGCUUAUAACCUUGGCCGAAAGGUCUGGGUAAUCUCCAAAUUUCGUCGUGAUGGGGAUAGAUUAUUGCAAUUAUUAAUCUUCAACGAGGAAUGCCUAGUAAGCGCAAGUCAUCAGCUUGCGUUGAUUACGUCCCUGCCCUUUGUACACACCGCCCGUCGCUCCUACCGAUUGAAUGGUCUGGUGAAGCGUUCGGACCGUGGCCUUUGGACGGUUCGCCGUCUGUUGGCUGCGGGAAGUUCGUUAAACCUUAUCAUUUAGAGGAAGGAGAAGUCGUAACA